AUGUCAAUAUUCUCUGCACGUCUGAUGGGUGCUGGGAUAAAAUGCGUUCGCAACAAAAUUUAUACGUUUGAUACUAAUGCUACUUUGGAGGAUAAAAUAAUUAUUGUAGCACUCAUAAUGACAAAUAAUAUUAAAAACUUGAUAAGUUAAGGCAUAGUAACGUUAGAAAAAAAGACACCUUAACACAAUUACAAUUUGUUUUUCGUAAAAAUUUUUUAAUCAACAUCUAUACAGUCUAAUACAUUUAACAUGAUCAGAUUAUUUAGGAGUUUAAAGAGAAUCCUCCAGUCUUCUACGAGAUUAUUUCAGCAGAUCGUACGUUCCAAUUCAAAAGCGAACGCUGAAGUAAACAAAGUAACAUCAAAAAUUAACUCUUCACAAAUCUCUCUUGAUUUGACCAUAAGACUGAAAGUCUUAUAAAGUAGAUUAUUAACAUAUAAUAUUUAGAAACGUCUAUUAACAAUAGUCUAACUAUAAUCACGUGACAUAGCACUAAAAACAUUGACACGCGACAAGAUAGUUCUAACAUAGUUAAAAGGACAAAUGUCUCCGGUUUGACUACAAAAUUAAAUUUACUUCUUUCUUUGUUAAUAUUGAAAAUUAUACGACACCGAAACAUCUGUCGUAAAUAUACAGACGAAAAGUGAUAGAUAUUAAUCAUGGACAAAAUAUAUGGGGUUGUGUGAAUGUUAUACAUUAUAAAUCAUAUUAUACUUGAAGAUGAAGUCUACUGACUUCAAUGGAUUUAUUGUACAAAAGUAGCGAGCAGAAUAGCACUCGGUUAUCUUUGCACUAACGGAUCUGACUAUUCACAAAGUUGGCUAUAUUUGCAGCGUGGAUAGCGCGUGACGCAUGCUAGCGAUGUUAGAGCGUUCUGCUCCCCACUCUUGAAUUUGAUCUAUCUUCCCCACCGCGAACAUUCGAUCCCCUACCGGCGGUAUUGCAACGUACCGGACGCGACAAAGAUGGAAAGAUUCGCGUGUACCUCAGCUCGAGCAAAAUGGAACACGUGCCGCCGCGGUGGGGGCGGAGGAGGAGCGAGACUCGCGUUGAAGUAGGGGAUAUCUAUUCACGACGAGAGGGGCAACCGACUGCUCUCACCCUCGCGAUUACCACACCCCUUCCACCAACCAGUGGUGCGCGUUUUCUCCCACAUAGCGGCGCUAACCGACGGGAUCUUUGUUACUCGCUACGCUCGAACGGCGUUUCGGUCGUGAGUUUGGAUGCUGGUGCCGCCCAGCGGCGAUCGCGCGAAACUCCAAGGUCGUCAGGAUGGUGGAAGAAUAGGUGGUAGGACAGGGUGACGCCGAGAGAGGAAACACGGCGAUGGUGGGGUGAACGAAAGGAGCAUGGUGGGGGCAAAUCCAGAGAACGUAUCCGACGAGGACGGCGACAUACUACUCUAAGGACGCGCAGAACGUCAGAGUGGGUCGAGAACGACGGGUGUCUCUUUCUCUCUCCCUCCUUCUCUCGCUGCCUAUCGCUCUGUUCUUGUUCCUUUCGAACAUUUUUCUCACUUCCACGCUCCUCGUGGAGAGGCAGAGAAACAGAACUCGAUGGCGGGGCGAGAGCCGGCUUACUACGCGGCGAAACGCUAGCACGGUGCUCAGUCUUCAGCGAUCAAACCGCCAGGCAGUGUGGACCUUCCUGAGCAAUCUCUUCUUCUACUUUUUACCUUCUCUUCUUUUUUCACUGGUGACGACAAUCAGCAGAUAAGACUAGAAAAACGCAACAGUUGUUCCAUUGUUGCUUGAUUCAACGAUUUGAAGCGAUUUUUUACUGGGAAGAUCGUCAAUUAAACUGAGAUCAAUGUCAAGAAGAAUUAAACAGAAGACAGACAACAGUUUCGGUGAACAGUGUGAAGAUAGUCAAAGUCCGGAAUAACUUGUAUAUUGAUCUUACGAACUUGGAGUAAGAAAUUAUUUACAUCGGAGUAACAAUGAAGGAAGAAGAUUAGAAGCUGAAGUUCGAAUUGAGAAGAUAAUGCGACAAAUUGGAGUUUAGCAGAUUUUUUAAAACAACGUAUCCAGAAUGGUGGCUUAUGAUCAGUUCAAACUUCAAGACAUGAAGUUUCGAAUUAAAGACUCAGGAUUAAGAAAAUUGUUCAAUACUUCGAAAAUGGAAUCUAUGAAUACGAUUAGACGAACAACAAUACAACACCACGUGAAGAAAGCGUAUCGUAUCUACAAAGAUAGGUGCGUGCUGAAGUGUAAUCGCAAUCACGAAGAACUGUGUUAAACCACGUGGGUACAUUAAAUCUCGUGAACCUUCCAUUCAAAAUAAGUUCGCGAACUAGAGAUGGUGUAUAAAAUUGAGAUCGAGUACCAAGAGUACCAAUCUUCAAGUAUCAAGUACUCACACUGCUCCUGAAGAUCGUAGAGACAUUAAAGGUGCAACGUAACAGUGAACACACUACGAGAGUCGUCGUAUCGUGUUAAUGUUGUUCAAUGACGAUACUACUUAGAGGAAGAAACUGUAAAAAGAAGCGCUGCGAGUGCGGGAAGUGUAAAAUGUAAAAAGUGGUAAAGUGGAAUAAAACUGCACUAUGCCGUUCGCAAGCAUAAGUUUCGAACGUAAUAUCCACUAUCCAUUGAUGAACUUGUUACUCGUCGUGUGAUCUGCCGACGGCACUUACAAUUCGAGACAUUCAGUGAUCAAAUAGACAAGUGAGAUUCAAAGCCCGCGGUAAGAAGAUUGCAGCUGCUCAGUGGCACUGAUCGGUAAGGUAUAAGGAUUGGAAAACCGUUAAGCCGUAAGCUAUAUAACUAGUUUUAAUAGAAAGUAAUAAAAAGCUUGCGAUAGAUGUGCCCCGUUUUGCUCGGCGGGACACUGAAUAUUUUCACAAGGCAGACGACGCACGGUUUCCGUGGAACAUUCGAUUUGAUUUCCAGACGGCAAACGGAUACUUUCUUCACGACACUUUUCUCUAACUUAUUGUUUGCCUUUGCGAAAUUCAAGAUUCAAACUUUAUAUCGUCUGUAAGUGAUACCGUGUAAUUCUAUGAUGAUCGUAUCGGGUAUCAAUAUCGAGUGAAGCUUCGUCGCGCGAUUUUGUUAGAGCUGCAGCUUGGGGAAAUGUUACGCGGCAGCGUCGGGGCUAAGAGAUCGAGCCGAGCCGAACGAAGAAUCCGACAAGACGGUACGUCCCUGCCUUCGGUGGGCAGAUAGGGUAUAAUCAUACCGAGUUUCGUAUCUCGAGGGGGGCCACGGGAAGAUGGUCCAACAUCUGCCGCUGCAGGGAAUCUCUGCCCACAUGCUGGCCGGGUCGCUCGUACGCGCUACACACGCGCACACGCGACGCACACGUGUGUACGUGCGGCAAAAAGUGACGUAGGUACACGGUGGGACGUCAUGUAAAUUCAUUCGAAACACAUGGCAGGGCGGCUCAUGGCGGCGCGGCGUUCCUCACGCGCGCAAAGGGCUUCGGAGAGAGAAAUCUCUCUCUUCGCGAGGAGAGCAGGCCGCGCGGAAAAACAAACGAUAACUUCGGAGAGACUUUCAACUUCGCGUGCCCCUCCCGGUAGUCCCGUUAUUCCGUGCAACGUCGCUGCGACCGGGCGCGGAUAAAUUUGGACUUCUUUUCUUUCACGGGGGUAACUCGGCAAUGCGAUAUUUCAGUCGGUCACAAAUCGUCGCGGUUUUCUUUCACGAAGGACGAAACGUUUAAUGGCAACGAAAUGACAAUCCCGUUGAAAUUAAUUCAAGAGAGAAUUUGCAGUUGACAGCGUUGAAUAAACCGUAAUAUUCUACGUAUCUGAAUAUGUUUAUUAAUCAAUAUAAUUAAUAAAUUUUUGUAUGUCAUUAUAAAUUCAGACGAUGAGAACUAUCAUAAUUGGUAUGCCGGCUAAUUAUGCAUAAUAUAAAAUAUCGGCUUUAUUAAAAGAUAGUUUCUGACGUACCCUGCCACGAAUAUGUUAAUUGGUUACUUCAUUAUUUUAAUAAAUAUGUUCCUCUUUUGUUGUAAUGUGUAUAUACGCAUAAAUUUAUUACAUCCUCGUGAACAUAUUAAUUAGUUGCAAUUUAAUUUUAAUCGAUACAUACUUAUCUUUGUUAUUAUCUGCACUAAUAGCCUAUACGUUAUAUCAUUAUAUUCUGCACAAAAUAAAUCUGUGCUCUUAAUAAUUUAAUUUAAUCGCGAUAGCGCACGUGAUCUUUUUAUGAAGUAUAUUUUACGCAAAAUAUACCAACGGUACUGUAUAAUUGUUGGAAAAGGAGGAAUCAAUUGAAAAAAAAAGAACAAUGAAACUCGCGCGCAUUACAGAAGUGUUCCUAAUUAAAGUCAUCAAGCCAGUUGAACAAUUAUCAUUAACUGCGUACUACGUUGCCGCAACGCUUACAACAACCGUCACGUUUACUGCCACUGAAAAUAGUUCGUUCGAUUUCACUUAUAUCCGCAUAACACCCUUAUUAUAAGCAAAAAAAAGUAGGUAUUGGACGUGCAGUAUAUUAAUGAAGAAAAUAACUUCUUGGUAGUUUAAAUAAAAUUACAAUCACCUUGAAAGAAUGAGAUACUGCAAAAAAAAAAAAAUUAACUAGAGAGAUGAGCAAGUGCAAAGAGCAAAGAAAAAGAGAGGAGGAUGCUGUUGUUCGGAGCGACUCCCAGAAGGGAGAGAUAGGGGACAGCUCGGUUGUCGCGUCGUUCUCUCUUUUUUUUUUUUCACGAGAAAGAAAUGUCUUCGUUAUGUUCGGCAAGCCGGAAGAUAAAAAGGAGCAAGGGCCCUUUCGAUGAGAGUCGAUUUCGAAACGCUUGCAGCCGCGCCACGUAAAGAGUGCUGCGGCACAAUAAAGAUAACGAUUUACGUUUGACUUUAUCGUCGGGAAACCAGGGCCAAUGACUCGAUGAACCCAACUUCGUAUUCUCGAUGCCCGCUUGGUGUCUCCUGAAUGUCAAGGUAGCGUCGAAAUUAAGUCGCAAAGCAGUAACUAACAGCUAAUUAACGCUAACAUAAUUAAAUAGCUGUAAGUUACGUUCAUUUCCUUUAAUAUUCAGAUAACUUUGAGCAUCAUACAGAAUAGCUUUGUCCACAUAAAACAGAUGACAUCUUAUAAAAUAUUCUGGAAUUAAUUGCGGUUAAAUGCAUUUAAAAAGUAAUAAAAUAGAAUUAUGCUAAGUAGAAUUUAUUAAAUUCUAUUAAAAACUGGAUUGUUAUAUAAUGAAACUUUUAUGAAGAUAUAUUUUGGAAUAUCACAUGAUGUUAUCUUAAUUCUGUCAUUACCGAGUCACAUUACGAUUAUUAAUUAUACUUUUGAUGUAUUUAGCAAAUUUUAACGAAGAAUAAAUUACCUUGUAUGAUGUGAUCAAGAUAGUCGAUCAAUUUUUACGAAAAAUACGGCUAAUAAAGAUAGUGGAGAUUACAAUAUGUACAUAAGAAUUUUUAAGAUAUACCUUUAUUUGAAAAAAAGAGGUUUUAAGAUCUCUGUACGACUGUGUGAAUUGCGCGUUGGAACGGGCCGUAUUUCUCCGUGAAAUUUAACGAACCCUCUCGCAAUGGGACACCAUUAAAAAAAUUCUUAAGCGUCAUGUCGUAGAACGCACGCAAUGGUGAUGAACGAAUAAAAGAGAGAGAGAGAGAGAGAGAGAGAGAGAGAGAGAGAGAGAGAGAGAGAGAGAGAAGGGAUAUUAAAAGGAAAAAAAUAAACAAGAAGAAAGAACGACAACGUCGCGAGGUAUUUCACGCAAACUUAUGCAAAUACAGGGCAACGCGCACAUAUCGCGCAGUUAAGUAAUGUUUACGACUAUGAUGCAGACAACAUAAUUUAUAAUUCUUGCAUAUAGACCGAGGAUAAUAUUUUUGGAACAAUAAUAAAUGACAGAGAAUUUUAAGUAGAUAACAGAAUUUAAAGCAAAUUGAAAUAAUUGAUCUGCUAGAUAUUUCUUGACGAUUUAUAAAUUCUAUGUAAAUAAAAUACUUGAGAAAUAAAUAAUUAGAUGUAUUAUAGAUUAAAAGGAUUAAAUUUUAAAAGAACAAAGUUAAUGACGACACAUGAUUAGUUUCCUUAAUUUUUAAAUAUCUCUUAAAUUUAGAUAAUGAUUUAUAUAUUUUUUUAAUAGCAAUCGUAGAGUUUGUAAAAUAUUCCGCGCGCGUACGGAAUACUAAAUUUUCCUCUCUACUUCUUCAAUUCAUUCACAUUGUAUUGCACUCACGCACGAUUGUUUACCGUUUUUUUCUUUUCACAAGGCAAGAAGAGACAUAUCGCACGCAUAUAGACAGUUUUAAUUAUUUAAUCUGACAUUGAAGUGCAUUUCCGUCGAAAAAGUUUGUGCCAUGGUAGAAACUCGAAAAUGCAUUUCGUGCACGUAACGAACUUAAAUGACCAGAGCGUGAGCACACCGGUUGCCCCGCGACCAUUAUCAGAUCAAUAAUUACGAAGGAGAGCCAAACUUCUCGAACUUUGCACUGUUUCUAACAAAUUCAUAUCGCCACCCGGUUUCUAACUUCUCUUUGUAUAUUGAUAAAAGAUGUCGGCGAUCCUUGAAAGAGGAUUAUUAACUAGACGACCAGAAGUUUCCUAAGUAACUUUAGUUUCUGAAAAUCUAUCAAUUUUAUUUUCAGAUCCAUAUCAUAUCGAAAAGUGUAUGAAAAGCGACAAAAGCCUAAAUAAACGUAAGAACCGGUUUCUAAUAAAAAGUUUGAAAAACGAUAUUACAGGUAGAUCGUUGCACGGUUUUAAUUUAGCAUGACGCUGUAUUCUAUGCGCAAUAACUGCGUAGGCAGAUUGGGCCAAUGCAAUCUUGAUUGACAAACAACUGUUGCGGUGCAUAAUUAUUAUUCACCACACGUUAUGGCAUGUUCCAAGCCGCGAGGCGGCGGUGCCUAGAAUCGAUAUUCUCAGGUUAACCGUACAUCCACACACACACAUAUAUACGGUGUAAGGGACCGUUCAUGGCGUUGAUCGUCACGUCCCCCAAUUAAGGUCUCGAGGUCGUUAACGAGCAAAAUAAUUAGGCUAUACACGCGGAUGACGAGGACAACGCGGUUCGUUAGUCUGUCUUCCCUGUAUAGUGAUCCUGCUAUCGUGCUACAUCUAGCAAGACGAUUAACAACAAAAAAAAAAGAUGUCAGACGUAUCCUUCAAGUAGUGGCGGGACAUAUCGUGAAUUAAUACGUUUGGUGGAAGACUCGUUUUACCAAAUGCCUGCGUGCAAAACUGCUGCGUACGGAAGAGGCCGCGGUAUUCGCGUGAGGGACAAUUUUCAAAGCAAAUAAUUGAUUGGAUCUCUCUUCCUUGUCAGCGCAUUACGCUCGAGCGUAUUGUUACUUCGCGAAAGCACAGAAAAAAAAACUUUGCCCCGAUUCAUCAUUGGUAGAUCGAGCACGCUCGGUCACGCGUGUCGCGUUACAACCGAUCGCACAAUCACGCCUCGCUGCUGUCUUGCAUGAUCGCUGAUAAUAAUUAGAUUCGAUCGGAAGUUUCAUCCGUCCAAUAGCGAGCUUUAGGAGUUAAAGCGCAGUGUUAACGAAACUUUAACGUCGAGUUAACGACGCGACACGCUGAGCCGGUAACCCAUAAAUGCGCGGAUGCCAGGGGUUAAAAGCGAGAGGGAGAGAGAGAGAGAGAGAGAGAAAGAGAGCUGCGAGAGGGACGAAAUGCGAGAGGGAAGGGAGAAAUCUGUGAGCGCCACCCUUUCGUAUGCAAAUCCCGGGACACCUGGAGCCAAAGGCCGCAUGCAAAUCGGAGCUCGGGCCAUCUGAUCGGGCAGAACCUCCGCCUCUGAACCGGUCCGUGUUUUUUGCGAGCCCCGAAAAUCGCACGUUUCUCUGCCAUAUUUUUUUUUUUCACGGUAGUAGCAUACGUCGCUGGGAAUUCGACUCGCGAAAUUCAGUGCGAACACAUCAUUAUAACUUCGCCGCGAACUUGCGUCGCUCGACAGUUAAAUUUAUGCAAACAGAUGUGAUGAUUACUAACAUUUAAUUAUUUUCCUCGUCCUCUCUCUCUCUCUCUCUCUCUCUCUCUUUCUCUGUCUUUCUAUCUUUUUCUUAAUAAGUGCAAUUAAUAUAAAAAUAUUUUUUAUUCGUUUCAAUCAUUCCUUAUAGGCUCGAUGACAAAUUGCCAUUUGCCCACGAUCACGAGUCGCUCAGGGAUCGAAUCGGAGCAAACGAUAAGCACAUAAUAACCGAUAUAUAUCUAAAAUGACUCGUUAUUACGUCAGAUGGCUGAUUUAAAAAUUGGUACGCUCCAUUAGCCGCAAAAAAAAUUGUUAAUGGCACGACUGUGACGAGUGCGACAUGGCGAUCGCAUAAAUAGCGAUUGCUUCGAGCCAUUGAUUAAUAUCGGGCGAUUGAAGCCAUCGUGAAUAUCAUCCGUUAAAAUGAUACCGUGCAGGAACGCACCAACGCGCGGCGCGGCGCGGCGCGGCGCGCGCGCAACCGUUUUUUUUCCCAUUGAUUUAUUUCGCGCAAAAAGCGAGAAGAGCGCAUUUAUCGGACGGUGAUUAUCUGCGCCAGUAGCAGCACGCCGCGCCCCACCGUAAUCAUUAAUUAUCGCGCGCAGAUAAAUCGAUUGCGCGCGUCCCUGCGCGCGCGACAACGGCGCGAGUAACGGCGCGGUUCGAUACGGUGCGCGCGGCGCGCGGUGCGGGUAAAAAUGCGAACGACAGCGUAAGAGAAGGUGUAAACCGGUGUGGCGGUGGCAGCGGCGACGGCGGCGGGCGACCGAUAACGCGGGAGGAAAAAAAAAAUAAUCGCGCGACGAUAACGCCGAUGGAAAUAUUAUUGUUUGCGCACGCCACAUUCCUCACGGGCGCGCUCGCUGCACGGUGUGCGUGCCUCAAAAACUUAUAGCUCCGCACGGUCCUCUCGUCGUAGUUUGUCAAUGUUGACAGUAUUUAAUUAGGAAAAUUUUCGGGUGUGUACCGUACAGUGUUUUAUCGCAUAACGACGUAACGAUUACACUCUGUGUUCUUGCGUGUGCGCGUGCGCGUGUAUGUGUGUGUGUGUGUAUACGUAAAAAGAUACGCGUAAACAGGUGUACGUGUGUGUACGAGGAAUAAAUUGUCCUAUUGUAAACGCGGAUAUAUGUAUACCGGGGUAACAGAAAGUUUUUCAGCACGCGAUCCGCGUAACUCCAAUUAACGGCGGCAGUUGUUCGCUGGUAGGAAGAUCCCGCGCGUCUUUAUUCGCAAUUUAUUCCCGAUAGUGCCGGGAACGAGGUGAGACGUUAUACCCACGGUAACGGUUCUCGUUAUCGUAAGGGGCGGUAGUUUCAGUUAUAAGCGCGACUUAUGCCACGUAUUAUAUCGCGCUAAAACCCGUAUCUUUGAUAAGUCGACGAUGCUUUUAACGCCGCACCGAGGCUAAUCCGAUCUGAGGCUAGACGCCAGCUGCGCACGCCGCCCGUGUGCUUCAAGCGCGUGCAAAAUAAUUGCGCGCUUAUCACCAAGCGCUUAUCCACCUCAACCCGUCUCGGGAGAAGAUGGUCGGCGAAGACGCGAUCCGCGAGGCAAGACGGACGCGUGAAACGCGCACGUAUCGGCCAGUCAGAUCGUUAUCGUUAGCCGUCGUGUUUGUCAGACUCGCCUUCUUCGUUUUGCCCUGCUCUCUUUUCUUUCUCUCCCCCCCCCUCCCCCCUCUCUCUCUCUCUCUCUCUCUCUCUUCCGUUUGCCUUCCGCGAUACGCCUAAUCGCGCGAUCUGAGUCGCGGCGUUGCAGCUUAUCCGCGAAGACGUCGCUUCGGCGACGCCGACGCUGCCGCGUGAGCCAACGCGAAGCACAGCAGAAACAUGAAGCUUCGACUUCUCCCGUUUGCGCGACGUGAAUUUCGCUUAUCGGGCAGGUAAUCGGUUUUCCCGAUGGUUUAAAAAUGAACGUUGCGGACAAUAUCAUUAUUUCGGAGCGCGCGCGGUAAACGUAUCCGAACGCGAAAACACUUAGACGCGGCAGAAUGUAUUAGUUAUCGCUAAACGCUUUGUAUCGCAUUACGUUUUCUUUACAUAUACGUUAAAAACAUGUUUAGAUUAUCGUGAUUUGUCGUCAGAAACGUGGUAAGCAAAAGAUGUUUACUUGAAUAUGGAAUACCUCUUCUUGAAUAAAAAAACACAGUUUUGAAUAAGAAUAUUAAAGAAUAAGCAUAAUAUUUCUGCUAAAGAUUAUCAAAAUUCAAAAAUUUUAUGAAAGUCGUUUGACUCAAAAGAAAUAUGUGAUUGAAAUUCACACUCGCGCUGUUAUUUUUUUUUAAGUUGAUUAGUCGGCAAAAACAGUUUUUAGUUUGCAAAUUGCAUAUUUAUCACUUUUCAAUUUAUGUGAAUUAUAAUACCGGGUAACUUGUAUUCGUACAUCUAUUGAAGUAAUUCAAUGAAAUGAGAAUCAAUUAGCACCGUGAAUUUAUCAAAAUCAAUUUCCUUCUUCAUUUUCCUUUAAGGAUUAAUCUUGGAUCAUUGAAACUUGAUUUAAGAGAUUCGUAUCGACUUGAUAUUUAUCCGUAUCUUUCAGUGAAGAAAUAAAUUAAACGAUGACGAUGUAAAAACUACAACUUCAACUUUAAGUACAUUAUUCAUCGUUCGACGUGUUUCUCUUACGUUUCUCUCAAAAAAGUGAACCCUUCGUGACUGCGAUAGAUAGAAGCGCGGGAAAAUAAAUUCUCGUGACAAAAAAAAAAGAAAGAUUUUCUAUCGCAGAGUCUUUAACGAAGAGAUAAUCCGACAGAGUUUCUCCCCCUUCGGCUCGGACAUUCCCCCCGUCCCAUCCUCUUCGCGUCUGCUCCUCUAAUCAUUCAAUCUGCCCGGUAUCCUCUCCGAUGUCAUUGCGUCUAUCGAGAGCACCCGUGCGUGUCGGGUGUACGCAUGCACGCACGCUCGGCCAAACGCUGAAGGACUGCCGCGCCGCGCAGGUCAGCCAUCUUGGCUGACGUCAUCUCGCGCGUCGAGCACGCAACCGCGAAAUGCCGACUUCCUCGUUGCGAUAGCACACCUUACUUUUUAUUACUCCUUUCCCCGAUUCUCUCCCUCGUCUAUCCUUUGCCCGGCGCCCUCUUCCCCUCCCUCCCUCCCCCCCCUUCCUUCACGUCGAGCCGAUCUCUCUUUUUUUUCUCUCUCCUCUCGUUCCUCUCUGCUCCGUCGUGUAGCAUGUACGCAUCGUCGGCGCGGCGUCGUGUGCAGACGUUCGCGUUUUGGUUGCGAAACGAAGCGAGACACCCCACCCGCGAUACAUGUAAAAUGGCGGAAUUUAAUAGAAAGGCGCUAUUCGCCGGUCGCAGUCAACCGACUGGAAGCCGAGGCGGUCCACCGAUCCUUAUCGCUCUUAUUUCUAUUCCGUUCCUGUACGGAGGGGAAGGAUUGCGUAUCGAUUCCAUCUGAUUUCUUAUGAUCUACAUGUGAAUUUCGCGGAAGCACGCACAUUUGAGGAUUUAUAGUCCGCGUCCGGUCGCGAUCUCGAUUUGCGACAGCGGAAGACGAAUGUUGCUCGAUUGGCUAUGAAUUAACAUAGAUGUCGCGGCCGACAGGAAUUUAUAGUUGACUUAAACGCCCGUGCCGGUUAAUUUUUUUUUUUUUUUGAGCCCCGCGGUAGAGCGUGUCUAACCAAAGCAUUCGGAAUUUUCUGGUUUAACUCUUUCUGAAACACGCGUUUAAUUUCGCGACACCUGGACGCUUCAUGCUGCCGUGCACAUUCAGUUAAAUAAACUGCAGUAUUCGCUUCUUUAAAAUAAACAGCGAAGCUAAGCGCAUAAAAAUCAUUAUCAGAUAAUUAUCAGCUAAAAUUAAUUUUAAUCGAAUAAAAAUUGUUAAUUUAGUUCUUAGUUUUUUAUAUAUAUCUAAAAAAAAAAAUAAAAAUAAUAUACUGAAAACGCAGCAUUAAAUAUGGCAAUAUUAAAAAAAUCAUGUGUUCUCUCUCAUUCUUUAGUACAGUUUGUAACUUUACACUUUAUAGCACAUCGUUUAAAUUCCAGAAAUAUCAGGCUUAUUAUUUCGACCCCAACCAGCUUAUUGAUUAACUGAUGGGGCUGAGUUAUCGAUUACCAUAGUGGAAUGUCAAAUUAAUAUGGAAAUAUAAAAAAAUUAAAAAUAAUGGUGAUAGGCCAUUACGCGGAACGCGCACUGUCGUCCCGUGUCGCGUGCACUCCCGUGUAUUAUUUCUUCAACUAUAACACACACGUUUCCCCGAAGCCUGUAAUAAUCGGCGAUAACCGACGGGUUGCCGCCUAAAGACGUUAAUCGGCUAUCAACCGGAAAAGUACUAGGCACGUGCCCGACGUUACGGGCGGGGACGCCCUCUCGAACCGACGUUCAAAUUGACGUCGCGACGGUGCGCGCAUCGCGACAUACGGACGUCUAAAUUUUUCAAGGCAACGAGCAUUCCCGCUAAUGAUGAUCGUUCGGCACGUCAAGCCGAUAUCACGCGACGUGACGCGGUAAUUUGGAUUCGUGCCGGGUCAUUACUAUGUUUCGCAUUAUAGGGACAAGUUCAGAGCCUCUCGAGUCUCUCUAUCUCUUUCUCUCCCUCUCUAUUUCUCCCGAUCGACUACCAGUCGUGGUAGGGUAGGUGUUUAUAACCGGUGUUAAAUCGGGCUCUCUUUACGGAGCCCAAUAAAACGCGGUACACGUCGUUCACUCGUCGAUCUCCGUUCCGCAGGAACCUGUUCGUGAUCCGGGUCAAAUUGUAAAAAUAGAACCGGGUAGAGGGAGAGGGGAGGCGAGAGGGACACGAAACCCCAUCGCUCAUUUAAUAUUUACAAAAAUAUGUUAAUUUAUUAAUGUCCGGAGCUUUUUGCACCGAUACCUUCGAUUGGCUUCGCCUGCCACUUGAAAACCUGCUCCGUCGGAAGAAACAAGAUCAAAAUCAAGAUCAAUAUCCAGUUGAGUUACUAAUCGAAUCUGCACUUCUGUAUCUUUUUUUCUGACAUCGCCUCAUAUACAAUUAGCUACUCGAUUCAUGAGAAAGAAGAUCGUGAGAUCAUGCCGGAUGUGCAACCUUUAAUAUUAUUCUCUUUGCUAUCUCGUAAGAUUCUUUUUUACAGAAUAAAAUAAGUUUCACUCCGAGAUAAAUUAUAUCUGCGAUUUCAUUUCGUUUCAAAUAAAUUUUUAGAUUCCGAAACAUUAGGUACAAAAUCAAUAUCUCGAAAAAUUUAAUAUAAAUCUCUUCAUGCAUAUAGUAGUAGUAGUAGUAAUAGAAGAGGAGAACUAUAUCAGUCUCUAGAUGUUAGAUCUAAAUCUAAAAAGUUUUUCUGUGACUCCCACUAAGGUUUCUUUUUCCUUAGGCUUAAUAUAGAAAACCUGAGUCCCAGAUCUCCUUUUUAAGUUUGAUAUAGCUUCAGGUUUCAAUUCUUAUGCAGUUUUGGUCCUUAAUAGAGCUUUAGACCUCCUUGGACCUGGUACAGUCUCAAAUUUUUUGUAGCCUUCGGAAAAUAUAUGUAGGGUGAUCUUAGACCCAGGUAUUCUUCAUGAUUUGCUACUGCCUUCCGGGAGAUGGCGAUCAUAUAAUAAAAAAAUCUGAUAUAUUCUGGAUUUAAACUUUGAUUACAAUCAUCUUCAUGUAUGCAACUUAAAUUGAAAAUUUUUCAAUCAUAUUUUGCUAACUGAUCUUUUAUUAUAAAGCGUCUUCCUUUUACGAGAAGCAAUUGGGAUCACUCCCAAGGACCUGAGUGCGACGAUUAAUCUCGAGUGAAAUUAACGAUUCGCAUGCGUCCGAGUUAUGAUUAUCGUCGUGUCGCGCCCUAUGUUAGGGGAAUUACCCGUUGGUGACGGUUACUCGUCCGCUUUACUGCCUACCAUGGCAUAGCUCUCUCACUGUAAUAUGCUAAUAGGUAGAUGGUAGCUCUACCCCGCGUAACGACGGAUCGUCGUAUCGUGUUUACGAGGUGAGCCGACCCCGGGGUUUCCCCUCGUGUCCCCCACACGCGCGAUGAGAGGAGAACCUUACGAGGAUCGUCGAGAGAGUCAUUCCCGUCCCGUGGUAUUCGUUACGCUCCCGUAAUUGCUGAACGCGUCGGUCGAGGCUGUCGUGCAAACCGAUACGAUGUGAAGCUUCAUAUGGGGACACGUGAGAACGGAAUCGUUUAUUGGGAGAAAUCAUAAAAUAAUCGGUUCGCGCGCGACACGGGACGUUUUUUCCACAACCAUGAAUUUCGGUCGAUUUGUACACGAGCUUUAACUUUUAUACGAACCAACUGUACCAAUCGUAUCAUUUCAAUUGUAUCUCCGAUUGAUAGCAACGAAAGAGUUUAUACUAAGCACUAUACAAGCCAGGGGUUUUUUUUUAUCCGCUAGUUUGAUACCCCAUACGACUGUCACGUAACGUGUAAUCAUUCACUCGCUCGUGGUGAGGGUUGAAUCUAUACACGAAAUACAAUACAAUCUGAAUUAUCAUUUGGAAAUAAAUGAUUGCGUAAACAGGUACGUGUAGCGGGCAACGGUGGGAGAUUCGCGCGGUCGUGCGAAUCGCUCCCCCGUCAAGCAAUAUUGGAAACGAAGCAAAAUUAAUUAAACCGGCAGCGCUAGAUCUGGAUGCACGUAUACCGGUUGCAACGAUAAUUAAAACUACCGACAGGACGAAAAAUUUUUAAUCAGCGGCACGACCGCGGCGCGGAGCGGAUUGUCCCUCGAACGGCUCGGGAUAAUAUGACACCGGCAAAUUUUGAUUCGGCGUUUCACGAGGACGAAAAAUGAUAGAGGAAAAAAAAAGAAGAAACCGCGGAGGGGUAGGGGGCAGAGAGAAAUCAAAAACCCCGCUUGUUUGCGCGUAUUGGAGCUAAACGGGGGGUUGGUUCGCUUCCGCACACAAUUGUCGGGCCCGGACGAUUGACCGAGAGGCCGAAUGGUUGGGAGUUGCUGUAGCACGCGGGCGUGGUGCGCGCGAUAAAAAUGGCGCACGCUCGACGCGACGAGGGAGACUCACCCCCCCUCCCUCCCACCCCCCUUCUUUUAUUCCCGCAUAAAUGCCGUGUGUGUGAUGCACCCCCAACAGACCGCCCUGGACUACCCUGUCGAAAAAACACUGUUCCUCCCUCCCUCCUACCGCUUCUCGGCUUUCCUUCCUCUCUCUCUCUCUCGCUCGCCCCCUCCCACCCUUGCUGUUAUCCCUUCAUGGUCUCAUUCCACUGCCGCCACCCUCGCGUUUUGAACCAUCUACCCAUGAUUGGGAGGCACGAGCCUGUUUAACCCUCGAGCGGCUUAUUAUGCGGCAGUCGUAUGAACGGGCGAAUAGAUGGAUGGCACGAGAAUGGUUUCGGCGUAGGCCGGGACGACAGAUUGAAGGAUUUUGGAGGGUUUCGGCGGUUUCUCGUGUCGCAUUGCGAAGAGAAGAGGUUUCCUUCUUUGUGAGCUCAAGUGGACGAAGUGAACGUUGCGGCAAAGGCGGACGUGAGAGACCUGUUUUAUGUUGUAAAUGUCAUCGAUGACAAACGAUUCGAUUAAAGUUCUCAGGCUUGCCGAUGACAGGGUUUCGUCUCGUUUCUGUACUGGCGCGAUAGCGACGCGACCGCAUACUAAUCAUGGCAAUAAUUAAUUUGGAUCAUUAAUUUGGAUAAUACUUUUAGUCUCAGCAUAUAUUAAAUGUUUAUUACUACGAUCAGAACUAUUUGAUGAUAAACAUCAAAUGUAAUUGAUGUUUUGGAAUAAAAUUAUUGUACUGUGAAAUUUUUUCUAACGAGUCGAGAAUUGAUAUCGUAGUGUGCUAAUUGAUAUGAGCAAUUUAUGGGGUGACAGCGCAGGAUGAGUUAUAGUUCUCCCCGACGGCUUGUCAUAACAUUACAGCCAUGAUGGUACUAUGGAAUAGACACUAAAAGCAAUCAAUAAUUAAGUAAGGUUAUCCAGAAGUUCAACCGUUUGUCGCAUUAUGAGUCUGUCGUGUAAUUAGAAGGGAAAAUAUAUUUAAAAUAUAAAAUGUUUUCCUUUAGAGGAUUUGAAAAAAUUAUUAUCUAAUAAUAAUAGUUACAUAUUUUUACGUAAUUAAUAGCUAAUCAUUGAUUAAAAGGAGUUUGUCAAUUUAUAUAAAAUUCACAAGGUGUGCAUAAACAUAUAUUCAUAUGUAUAUAUUCAGGAUUAUUUUGCUAAUAGAUUUUAAUCAAAAUAUAUUAAAUUUACGUUAAAAAAUAUUAUACCAUGAUAAUUUGUUUUUUCCAAUUGAUAAAUAACGUGUGGAUUGGUGUCACAUGAGUAAUUCAAGCAACCCGUGCAACAUUCCGGACACCUGAUGCCAUUGUAAAAAAAAGAGAGCGUACGAGUGCGUAUAUAAAAAACGAGACCAGGGCGGUGAAGCAACGGGUAAAAUCAUCCCCAACAAUCCCAUUUCCGAGUGCAAUAAACCAGACGAUGGAGGAGGAUGCUGCUGAGCAAUAAACCGAUCCGGAUGAACAUUUCGUCGUGUACCGAACGAUAUCGUAUCUGAAAUUCCACAGAAUGUCCGAUCGUUUCACGCAUCCGUGACCCAUCCGCCUAUCAAUGCGUUACGCACAUAUACGCAUCUUUGUGAAGAACCGUAUAUUAUUUUUAACGCGAUAAUGUUAAUCUCAUUAUUUUAUUUGAGGUGCAAGAGAAUGCUUUAUAUUUAGAAUGUUUAUCAAAUUUUUGUUAAAAUAUUUUUCCAGAUAUCUAUAUGCACUCUUGCUCUUUUUUGUUAAUACGAAAAAAUUUCUCUAAAAAAAAUAACUUUAAUAAAAGAUAAUGUAACAUACGUUACGCAUUUUAUAAUAAUAUUCGCUCGAAGCAUAAUUUUGUCAAAGUAUGGCAAAUAUAAAUAUGAUUGAUAGGUCGGGAAAAGCUUGGCUGCACGAACUGACCGUUUUAAUAGAAAGGAUAUAUUCUCCGAGUAUAGCUUUAAAUAGCGAGACGAAGCGAUAUUUCGCCAGACUGACCGAUGCACCGUACGUGCAUGGCUUACGUGCCUGCAAUGUAGAAAGGGUCAUGCUCACGCACGAGAAAACCGAUUAUCUAUUGCACCGCACCGGCCGCGUAGAUAACUCCGGUCUAAUGUACAAUAAGAAAACGUGGUACGUGCGUUGCGCGCAUUAAAAGAGAGGAGAACAAGAGAAAUGGCGGGUACGAAUUAUUAAGAUAAUAAUGAGGGAGAAAGCUGGCGGUCUGUUAGAUCAUAAACCAAUGUCCCUGCUAUUAGUUUAAACUCGUCAAAAUAGUUGCUACGUGAUUUCUAGAAUCUCAUGAAUCAAUAAUCAACAACUCAUAUAAAGUUAUUUUACGGCGGAUUUUUAAAGAGAAGGAUAUUCUAUUAACUGUGUGUGUGGAAUUUCAUUAAUAAAUUUUGGUGAGAUGAUGCGUGUUGAAAGAUCCGAUAAAUUAUAAUACUAUUAGAGCUGAAAAACGUAUCUCUGGUUUAGAUAAAGUCUCUGGAUCUCCUUGGCUCUACCGAUGUUCCGCAACGGUAACCGGCGAUCUAAAAUACAUUCCGUUUGGUUCGAACGUUCGGUGCAAUUUUGCGGGGCAAUGGCGGGGAAAGGAUCUCUCUCUCUCUCUCGCGCGCGCGCGCGAUCUCUUUUAACUUUCCAAACGGCGUUUCGGUCGUAAACUCGAGAUCCGUCCGUGAGCCUUGUCCCUGAGAAUCUCUGUCCUUUGACUAUCGCUAUACAAUAUUCAUGCUGCCGUGCCAAGUGUCUCGCAAUAACUUAGUUAUCUCACGAUGAUUGUGACUCAAAUACGCGCAUGCGGAAUAUUAAUGCUGUCGGAAAGAGCGCGCGCGGCGUUGCAAUAUGCACGGGGACGCGGCGCGACGCGACGCGACGCGUCGCUGCGUCGCUCUGCGGCUGCAACGCAAACCGGGGAGAAUUGUGACGGCGCGAGGGGACGACGCGAGGGCGGACGGCCCCCAUUGCAAUUGCGUUCUCCACCACCGCGUAGCCGCCGCGUUUACGUAGUUGGACCGAUGGACCGGUUGGCUGUACUACACCAGGGGUGUAAUGGGCAACGUGCACGCUGUCGAUAGUUAUUGCUUUGUUAUUGGGCCGGGUGCGACGCGGGACGGGACGGAACGGGACGGGACGUGUCCGGACGCCACCGGAGCGACGCGGCGCCGAAUAUUGCGCGCGGAGGUUGUUUUAUUGGAAAUUUCCCGCGGCCCACUUCUGGAUUUCCGCGAUUUUCCCGUUCACGCGGACGUGACGACGCGUGCCAGCCGCGCGCGCGGCGCUUUUCCACGUUCGCUUUCUCCCGGCGCCCGCUUUUGCGCUUUUUUUUUUUUGCGCCCUUUUUGCAUCCUCUCUCUCCCUCCCUUUUUUGCAAGCGGCGUCCUGUAAAAUCCGGGGCUUCCGAGUAAAUCCGAGUUUAUUAUUAAAUCAAAGCUCGUAACACGACACGCGCGCAAACUGGUUUUUUUUUUUUUUUUUUUUUUAAAGAAUUUCUGGGUCACUAGAGAUGAUUUCAAAGUGUUUCGUGUUUUCUAAAUAUGAAAAACGUGAAUUGAAAAUAAAGAAUUUCGCGAGAGUGCAAAAAUAUGAACAAAUGUUUAAAGCUGCGUUAACGUAGUGAAGAAUAGAAAUGCAAACGGAGAACAAAGCGAUGAUACAUGUAAAAUCGUAAUUGCCAGGUAAAGGUUCGAAAAACAGUUUGAAAUAAUUCCAUCGCUAACGUGUCUGGAUUUACAGCUGGAUUUCAUCAAAAAGCCCGAUAGGGGCCUUUCUACGCUAACAGUUUCCUCCAUUUUCGGAAGAACGUUCGAUCCAAUUGGAUCCAAUCACGAACGGUAGGGACGUGCGGCUGCACGUGGCUUAAUUGAUUUGAUUUCGAGGGGGUUUUCAUCCCACUUUCGACGCGUACUUCCCUGCAACCUGACAUUAAACAUUGUGUAGCACCCCCCCCCUUCCCCUCGCUCUUUCCCUCCUUUCUGCUUUGCCUUACCCUUAUGAUUUUUCCAAAAGGUCGCCCAGGGUUCUGUGUGCUCGCACAUACAUACAUACACAUAUACAUACAACACGCGUACGUGCGUAUAAAAUCGAGAGCUUCUAAUACCAUCCAUCUUGCGUUCAGCAAUUACAUUUCAUUGUAAUAUUUAAGAAUGUACGCUUUUCUGUAUAGUUAAUAGUAUAAUUCAGCUACUUUAUUCUACGAAAGAAACGGGGAAAAAGAUCGGUGAAUCGCAUGUCAUGAAGCCUCUUUGUGAAUGCGAGCGCGCACCAGACGCCAUUAUAAUGCCCCUGAUUGUAUUGUACACAAGUUACAUGUCUCCUGAUUGUAUUCGUCCAUCGUGACUGAGUAGCUUCCAUCUUGUUUCUCUGAAUGCAAUUGAUUUCGAAUAAAUUACACAUAAUGAAGGAGAACCAUUGCUUUAUGAAAAUGCAGCCGACUUUCGUACCCGAUUUUCUUUGCAAGAACUAUUCUUUGCCACUAAUGAUAUUAAGAUUACCAAAUGAUAUUUGGAUGAAUAGUUUUCAACCUUUUUACGUAAAAAGGUUAGGCGAUUUCCAAAUGAACUCGAUCCUUUUUUUACAAAUCAUUAUUAUUUAUUAAUUCAGCCGCAAUUUAUACCACUAAUAUUAAGUAAAAUUCCAAAAAAUGUAACCAUAAUAAAUCAAUUAUAAUUAAUAAAACUACAGUCAGCAGUUAACAGAUUUUAGCUUUAAAGACGUUUACUUGAACUUUGAACAAUAAUUUUAUUUAAAAUCUCGAGUGGGAAACAAAGAUUUAUAGCUUUUUUUUAUCUUUUUUUAAAGAGGUAAUUUUGUGAUGAUAUCAGGCUUUUAAAAAAAACACGGUCUUUUAUGUGUUAAUUACCGUAUUGUGCUAGAGUCGGCUAAUCGCGAAAUGAUGAGUUGUCAUAGCAGAAAACCGCAAUUGCUCAUGAUGAUUCCACGUUUCGUCACACGUUUGUUGCAAAAUCUAAUUUAGAGCGUACGUACCAUACGAACAUACCGCAUGAUAGUCGCACCGGCGUCUGUACGACUAGAAGCAAAUUGCGAGCGUGGGGCCGAUUUCAUCAACGUUCGCGCGAGUAUAUCAUCGAUCUCUUCGCCUAUUACAGGGCCCACCGAACCUAGGUUGCCAGUACCGGAAACCACAAACGCGAAUGAUGAUUCACUGACUCGUCAUACGCUCGUUACAAAAUCUAAUUUAAAAUUGAGAUGAUGUACGAGAUUAAGGCGUGGAAAGUUCUGUCGUGUUGCAAGAAACCACUAUAGCAAUUAUACUAGCUUCGUCAAUUAUAAUCUAAUUGGAAAGGCGUAAAAAACCCAUGCUACGUAACUCUAAGCUUUUCAGAUUUGAUAUGUUUAGUUUUUAUUCAAUGAAACGAGAAAUGCGUGUAUCCACGCUUAAUUAAUUAUUACAUAAUAUACAUAAUCCCUAGUUAGCUACUUUUAAAAUGUAAUUAAUUGUUUUCAUUAAUUGUUGUCCAUGAUUAGUGGUAGGUAUGUUAAGCAGUUAGUUAGAAACAAAGGGAGCACGGAGAAAAGAAAUUGUGCGUCGCGUCUCGUUCUACAGUGUAAUUUUCAAUAUCCAGCUUAUUAACCCGGAAUAAUACCAUGUCUCUUGAGCUUUAACCCUCCUUGAGAUUACACGACUUGUCGACGUAUUAGUAGUGGUAAAUCCAGCAUAAUACGUAUAUAUAUCCGAGCGAAAUCUUAUUCAUGUCUCGUAUUGCUGGGGUGAAAGGAAUGCGCAUAGUCGUAAAUUGAAAAAUUACGAAGAAUUACGAAAUAGUAGAGACAGCGAGUAGGCCAAUUAUUUCAAUUAAAAUUUCUAACAUAGAAUUUUACAUAGGUUAAUGUUUUAUGUUCAAUCAUUUUACAUAGGUUAAUGUUUUUUAAUCAAAUUAUCCAGUGACGGAGUAUUAACAAUUAUAAAUCACGCAUAUAGUGUUACUCAUUGUUUAAAGAUUUUCUGAUUUAUGACAAAUUUUAAGUUAUAUAUAUCUUUGAGAAAAAAACGUUAACAGCAUAUAGUAAAAUACCAAACUCAUAUAACAUAAAAAAUAAUUAUAAAAAAUUAUUUUUUAUUCAGGUACAGCACAAAUAAUGUAACACUUUAACACCCAUAAAAUCGCUUAAUUUCACGAUGUAAAGCAAACGAGAAAUUCAUCGGCGUUUUUUUUGUUCGGCUGAAGAAAUCCAAACAGGGAAGAUUGGCAAUGAAUGUCGCGCGUUCACAACUCCGGCCGCGUGACUUCGCCGGCCUUUCCCUCGCGCAUCCUCAAACGGAGAAAGUCCUUUUCCCGUCCCUUCGAACUCAGGCGCCUAUCUAUCCACGACCACGUAGGCGUUUUUAUGCGAACAUUCCCGCGUCCCCUAACUCCGCCGUCUCCUUUUCGAGAGCUCGGGUGUGCGAGGCGAGUAUUAAAGUUCUGUUUUACGUGCCGUUCGCGGAAAUGACGAAUCUUCCGUUCUUCCUCUCGUACCUCUCUUGGCAGGCAAGUUAAUGGUCGAGGCUUCCGCGGACUUUCAUAAUUUCGAGGGAGACGAAUCUCCUUCCGGGGGACGUUUCGAAAUCCCACUUUUUUUUUCCCCGCUUCCGCGGAGCCCGAGCUUCGCGAGAAGUUUGAUUGCUACAACGCAUACCGCGAUGUGUCAGGAGGAUGUCAGCGUUCGGCUUGUACGCGGGGGAGACAAUUUUGGAUGAUGAACGAUAUACAGUUAAGAAGCGUUACGUUAUGCGCGCGCGAGCAGCUGGCCGCUCUUCUCCAUCGUUCAUAAGCACAUUUGCGCAUGAAAUAGCGGACGGCUCACGUCAUUGUGUAAAUUUAUCUAACGAAUUUCGAAUUAUUAGCUGGAAUAACUGUGCGUCAGUAAUUUGUUAGAGUACUAUUAAUCAAGUAACGCUAAAUGAAGAGCGGCACUAAAAAUAGAUUUGUUUGUACGAUCAUGUCAUGUUAUAUUCGACAUGACCGAGCGAUUACGGCGGUCAUCGAAAGGAAAAAUUAUCUUGACAGUGAAAAAUUGGUUGAGGGUGAGGGAUCUCAUGACUUUCAAAUUCCUUCGGAUAAUUCAGAGAGACAUUACAGCGACAGUAAUAAUUAAUUGAUUUAAUUCGCAAAGCUCGUCUCCGCCAUUGAAAAUAGCUAUUCCUGGCUAUUUCCGGAAUCAAGAUUAUCGGCGGUAGAGCGUAGUCGUAGGGACUACUGUGCAAGUUAAACAUGUCAGUAUCUAAUAGACUUGUCUUUUUUUAGCUGCACUUUUUGCACUGUUUGCACUUUCCGCUGGCUUUCCAUUUACAUUGGAAAGAUAAAGAGAAAGGAUGAACGGCGCAAGAAGGUCCAAGCUAAACAGAACAGACCUUGUAUCUCUUUCUACUUGAUUCGUGCCGAUUAUCUUUGCAAGACCGAUAUUUCACGCCUCUCCUUGCGUCACAGGAAAGACACGUUCUACGUUUAACCGCUUUGCCGCGCGCGGCGGUAUUGUAACAACGAGCAAUUUUCGUUCGCCGGUGAACGGGCGGGCACCUUGCUAUUUCACCUUGAAACCGGUCCAACGGUGCUUCCCUUCGGCUCCGGCCGCCGAUCGAAUCGAAUCUCCAUGUCCGAUCUCUCGUUCACCCGUUCGAAACGAGUUCCAUCGCGCGCACGGCUACGCGCGGGGAAUGAUUCGCAAGUACCGGUGUUUACUCGUGCGGUCAUCUUCUAAAUUGCGACGCGUUUAUGACCGCGUGUCGAUCCGGUGAUCAAUGCGGAGGCUAAAGAAAAAAAAAAAAAAAAGAAAAAGGGAUUAUUGCUACGCGGCCGCUCGUAUUUCGUGAGCUGCCGGCGAGAGGAACAGUAAUAUCCAUCUUUUAUGUUCGAUAAUUAGACGCGUCGGGAAGAGGCGGACGGGAGAGGAGAAAGAAAAAUAGCGCUCUUUAUCGAGCAUAUUUUAUCUGAGGGGACGCUAAUUCGUUAUUCUAUUCGGUUUCAACGACCGUUGAUGCAAUUGCAUGCCGGACUUAUAUGGACACGGCAGUGCUCUCUUACAUAAUUAAUCGCCGACGAGUGAUCGAUAGAUAGAAUAACUAAUUAUCUUUAUCUUCGGAAUUGUUCGCCAACGCGGUGCGAACUCAUAAUUGCCGUUCUCGCGAUUCUCGCGGUCGUCCAUGCGGUCAUUAUCAACAAGCCAGAAGUAAAGUACAAGUAGCACAAGCUAUUCGUUAUUAGACAUUCGCCAUAUAUUUCAAAACGUGGCCUUCGCGCUUCCGAAAAUUCGAGCGCGGCCCGCGGGAAUGCGAAAGAGGAAGAGUCAAGAAAAAGAGAUCGCUCGACAGUGAUAUGUAAUGUAUCUGGCAUGACAAGGCGAGAGCAAUUAAAUGUCGCCGGAUGCAGCUGCAGGCGAUUGCGUCAUCGGAGCUACUUUGCAACCUUGAUCUCUCCUCGGAGGGGUCUCUUCACCGCGGUUCCCUCCUCCUCUCUCUCUCUCUCUCUCUGUAUUUAUCUCUAUCGUUCCUCCAUCUCUGCUUCCCCUCGUCCCUUUUAAAACUUCAACCGUCCAGCCGUCCUCUCUUUGGCCGCGAUGAUCGGCGUUGUCGUCGGAUUCUGCCGUUUGCAUUCUGCACUUGCACCGCGACAACUUCUGCACCUUUUUACGACCCGCGAAAGAUGUAGCGACGUUUUACGACCACGCAUGCAUGCGGGAGAGCGGCCAUGCGAGAGAGAGAGCGCGCGCGCGCGCGCGGGGUCCUUUCUAAAACAAUAAAGAAAAAAAAAAAAAAA